GCCAGCAGCCAUGUCACCCUGCAACUUACAAUUGGCAACCCACUGAAGCUAAGCAGGUGUGAGCCUGGUUAGUACCUGUAUGGGAGACCUCCUGGGAAAAACUAAGGUUACUGCUGGAA
rnacentral:rRNA from 1 species